GACGAACGCUGGCGGCGUGCUUAACACAUGCAAGUCGAACGGAAAGGCCCUGCUUUUGUGGGGUGCUCGAGUGGCGAACGGGUGAGUAACACGUGAGUAACCUGCCCUUGACUUUGGGAUAACUUCAGGAAACUGGGGCUAAUACCGGAUAGGAGCUCCUGCUGCAUGGUGGGGGUUGGAAAGUUUCGGCGGUUGGGGAUGGACUCGCGGCUUAUCAGCUUGUUGGUGGGGUAGUGGCUUACCAAGGCUUUGACGGGUAGCCGGCCUGAGAGGGUGACCGGCCAACUUGGGACUGAGAUACGGCCCAGACUCCUACGGGAGGGAGCAGUGGGGAAUAUUGCACAAUGGGCGGAAGCCUGAUGCAGCAACGCCGCGUGCGGGAUGACGGCCUUCGGGUUGUAAACCGCUUUCGCCUGUGACGAAGCGUGAGUGACGGUAAUGGGUAAAGAAGCACCGGCUAACUACGUG
rnacentral:rRNA from 1 species